UCCACCCGCCCCGAUUGGCCAAUUUGCGCAGGCGUAGAGGUGGGCCAAAGCGCGAGACAACCAAUGCGCAGGCGCAGAACAGUCGACUGGCACAGAACUACCGCCAGUACAGCUAAUGCGCCUGCGCAAUAGAUCUUCCGUCUAGGCUGGAGACGUGUACGCUUUCUACCCCGUCUUUGUAGUCACGUCAGUGACGCUCGCAGUUGCUCUGGCAACAAGAUACUGUGAAAGGAAGCAGAGAAGUUUUACUGCGGACCGAGUAGCUACCCGAGUUCCCGCUCUCCCUUUGCUCCUCAAAGAUUAACUGGUUCCGUUUUACGUCCAUGCCUGGCGCUCCUCAUGUUCAGUACCAGCUCGGCCAUGGCUCGGACUGCAUAUGCCUGUCCCAGAUCAUUAGAACAAGUCGUUAGUCCACCAGCAGUGAAAGCCACUGCAGCGAAUAACUGCUCAGGCACCAGUUUAGAAGUGGUUGUUGGAGGAGGGAAGUGCGGCGAGUAGAGAGCGAGUGAGCUUGCCCUCUCCAAGGGCCCUGAGCUGGCCCUGGAGGUGCUUAUGAGUAAGCGCGGUAGAACCUAAGCCCACGGGUUCACUUUAAUUUCUGGAUUCCGUGGCCCUUUUGAUUUCACAUGAACUUGACCUUCCAGACUUAGUUCAUCUCACCUUCCAGCUGCAAGUCACACAUAAGCAGACUGGAAAAUUUAUCGGCAUCAACUAACGUACUGAUUAUCAGUGGUGGGCAAAGCCUUGCUUAGGUUCUAGAAAGAAGAAAAAUAAUCCAUGUCCUCAGAAAGUUUUACAAUUUAUUUGAAGAGAGGUGUAUAUAUUUAGACACACAGAGAUUUGAAUUGUUAUAUGAAUUUAAAUUCAGCUUAAACUCUCUGCUGUUGCUGGGGGAGGGGGCAGCGAGAGGGGGUAACCCCUCUGCUUUUUAUUUCAAUAUAAUAUGACAAGAAGAAUAAGUUUCUCUGACAAGUUGAACCUUUCUCCAAUCCUCCUCAUGACCAAGUAAGAGGAUAGCUUCCUCACCAGAAUUCAACCUCAAACUUUAAAGGCUUAGCUGAUACAUUUUAAUCAUUCAGGAAUAGAUUCCUCAGAGGAGAGAGGGAGGUUAUUCCAUCAUCCAGGCUCCUUCCAGCAUUUUUUUUUCCCUUAUGUUUUGUGUGCCUUUGAUCCAUGCCAAAUAUCAUUAGCAUCUCUACAGGAAAUCCCACAAUGGGAAAGCAGAAGAGAUGAAAAAACAUCAAAUUCACCUACAGAAUGCAUCCUUUUCUGAGACCUGCAAAGUCAAAUGCCAAUAGAAUGAACUAAAAGCCUUUGUGGACUACUUAAAACAGCAAGAAAAUGAAAUGUUUUGUUAUGUGUUCAGUUUGUGAUUCUAUAAUCAUUGAAUCUAUAAUCUGUCAAUAGGAAAUUGCUAAUACUAAUGGUUCAAUAGUUUCAGUAGUUUAAAUUAGAAUAGUAAUACAUGUAAAAGUUCAUGUCCAGACUAGUGGGUAAGAGUGCACCCUCUAGGAUCAGACAAUCCUGAAUUUGAGCCUUGGCUCUGCUGUUCAGUAGUGAUUUAAUGUAGGACAAAUUAGUCUGACAUUUUCCUUUUCUAUAAAAUGGAAGUCAUUUUCCUUUUCUAUAAAAUGGAAGUAACAAUACCUAGGUUGUUAUAAUGUUGUGAUUAUUAAAUGUUAAGCAUUAAGCACCUAGUAUGGUACUUAAAACACAGUGAAUGUACAGUAAAUAUUAGCUAUUAUUAUUUAUUACUCAUCUUGGUAUGUAUGACUGCUUCCCCUAUUCCUCUGAAUACUUCAAAUUGGCCAAGGAGCCCUGGCCAGGUACUCAGUUGUUUAGAGCAUCAUCCUAAUAAGCCAAGG